UGUUCUCUGUUUUGUGGGCUGAAUAUUUUUGAGCAGGGAUGGCAUUAUUUAGAGCUUUUUAUUGGUAGCCUACUGAGUGCUCAAACCUGUGCUAGUCCCUAUAGGGAAUAUGGAAAGACUUCUUGGAGCCAUUAUUAUGCUAGUGUCCAUUGUGAUGCUCCUGGCAAGGGCAUUCUCCUAUUCCUAUGACCACAGAGCUUCCCCUUCCCCUUUGCCCUGAAGAUUCUCUCAUGGGACUAGUGUUUCAUUGAAUAACAUGUUGGUUAUGUGUAGCAUGCUGGUUACGUGUAGCAUGCUGGUUAUGUGUAGCAUGCUGGUUAUGUGUGGCAUGCUGGUUACGUGUAGUGUGCUGGUUACGCGUAGCAUCCUGGUUAUGUGAGGCAUGCUGGUUAGGAGCUCUAGGCUCAGGAUCUUGAUUCUGCCCUCUUUGGUUGCAUGAGCUGUGCAAGCUGCUUAACAUCUUUCAGGCUAACUUUCUAUAUUUGUAAAAUGGGAAACAGACUUCUUAGGAAGAUUUUAAGAGAUGUCUUACAGGACCUGGCAGAUAUAUGCUCAAUAAAAAGUAAACUAGCUGGUGUUGCUGCUGUUGCUCUUACUGUUGUUUUUAUUGACUUGAAUAAAGGAAUCUUGCACCUGUCAAAAUGAAACACUACAUAGUAGGUCCUGAUAUUUUGCCAUACUCAGCUGGUGAUAAGAAUCAGAGAAGCCAGCCAUUUGAAUAACUAUGAUUUAUUGAAUUCUUACCAUGUUCUAAGUUCUUUAUGUAUACUGUUUCGUUUAAUCUUCACAACAAUUCUAGGAGUCAGGUUCAAUUGUUAUUGCCAUUUGAUAGAUGAUGAGGGCAAUGAGUCUUAGAGAGGUUAAAUAAUUUGCUAAAGGCCACACAGCCUGUAAAGUGGCAGAAGCUGGGACCAUCCAACUCUAAAGCCCACAUUCUUAGACAUUAGGGGAUAUUGAAUGAAGUGUGUGUAUGUAUGGGGGAAUUUAAGAGAAUAUCAAACCAUUUGUAGAGUUCUACCCAAUAUAGAGACCUUAUCUAAUGUAAGAGAACUCUGAAGACAUCUCAUUGAUUGAAUGCUCUCCCCUUCAUAGCAACUUCUUCUGCGGCUUCCUUGCCUGGUGCUCCAGUCUUUGAGGGAAGCACGGCUGGCACGUUCUUCCGUUUGGAGACAUGGUUGACAAUUUCUCCAUAAUGGGGACACAACUGGCAAUUUUCCUACAGAGUGAGGCAGAUGGCAAUUUUCCUUCAGAGACAUGCAGGCAACAGUUUUGCCCCUGGAGAGAAAAGCCUCGCCGAUUGAGAUGCAGCCAGUAAUUUUUACUAUACAGAAGACACAUCCAAUAAUUUUGCCCAGUGAGAGAAACGGCCAACAAUUUUCCCACAGAGGGAAAAACAGACCAAAAAUUCAUAGUGGGGAGAAGUGAGGAGCAAAUGGGCUGGUAUGACCAAGAAAGACUUAAUAAGAAGCUGAGCCUUAAAUGAUCAAGAAGCACUGGAUAGAUAAGAGGAAUAAUCAUUUAUUAGCCAAGCGGGACUGGUGCCUUUUUGAGAACUGUCAUUCUGGAAAGAUAUUGAUUGAAGGAGGCCUCUGAGCACAUUCUCUCCAGCAGGCAGCCGUAAGGGAGGCGGCUGCAGUCCAGACAAGAUGAUGAGUUGGCAGUGAGCAUCUCGACAGGAGCCUAAUGAAGAAAUCUGGUAACAGCGAGGGCUGGCUUUAUGAGCGCUCAUAUUUGGUCUUUCACUCUCUGCAAGGUUGGUGAGUGGCAAAAGUGUCCAUGGGCCUCUACCUCCCACUGUGGAAUUACACAUUCCUACAGCCAGUGGGCUCCGGGAACCCAAUGGCAGCAUCCCCAGGCCCCUGGGCCCACUCCACACAUCACAGGCUAGAGACUUCUUGUCUGCCUCCUUUCUCACGUCUCUCCCCCUGAGAUAGCAUGCUCUCCCCUCCCUCCUUCCCUCUCAUAAUUUGUUCCCAACAGGUAGCUUUGUGCAGUUACUCCAAGAGAAGCCCGAACUCCCUGGGGAGCCUCUGCCCAGGUGGAAGAGCUCUCGAGUGGCUAUUAUUAGGGGUGAUUGCUGGGAAGCUGGUUGCCAUGGCACCGCAGAGGCCAGUGCUGAACUCCCAAGCUGCCCCGUUUCCAAGGCUGUCUACAUAAUCACUGCAAUGAGAGGCACAGGCACAGAAAGGGAGAGAGGAGCAGCUCCCCACUGACAGUGAUCUCCCUGCAGAGCAAGGUGAGCAGUUCACAGCUGAGUACGACAGCCCAUCUUGGCAUGGGCCAAGCACUGCCUGGAGGGACCCUGGUGUGAGCUGGUCACUGCUUCACUGUCUUCUCAUGGAUCAGGCAGUCUGCCUCUGUGUUCCCAGUACUGGUUUUCUACAGGAAAACACUGCUCCUAAUCCACUGAUCCAUUUCUUAAAGGUUCCUGGAGUUUGCAAACAUCGAGUAGUGAUAGUCUUCCA
rnacentral:lncRNA from 1 species